GAACAUAAGCCCGAUGAGGACGCAGAGCACCAGGCAGAAGCCGAUGUCCGCAUGGUUGUGGAUGACGAACUCCUGGCUGAAGAGCGGGUCACUCCCUCUGGAGGAAACCAGCUGCCACUUUGUGAGGAUACUCAUAGUCCUGUGGAGGCAUAUCCUCCAUAUGGCUGAGACCUCCUGCGAACAACCAUCACUGACUUGCCAGACAUGAGUGUGCCACCUUGGAAGCAGAUUUUCCAGCCCCAGUUAAGCCUUCAGAUGACAUCAGCCCCUGCUAAUCUCUUGACUACAACCUCAUGAGAGACCCUGAGCCAGAACUAGCCAGGCUUACCCCUCAUGGUUACAAAGUGGCUGCAACAGCUCCAGGUGUUCUAUCCUUUAACACAGAAUAACUCAAACAACAAGACCCAAUAUUCAGACAAGAAGGAAAGGGACUUUUGGAGAGUGAAGAAAACUUUCCUAGAAACCUCAAACUUCUCCCCAUGCCUUAUUGGCCAGAUUGUAUCCCAUGCCCAUUUCUAAACCAAUCAUUGGCAAAGUGAGUGGAAUUGACGUGAUUAGAUUAACUUUACCAAGAAUGCAUCCUCAGAGAGGCUGAGAAAAAGUCCAGCCUCCUUUGAAGAGCCUGGCUACCUUUCACCUGAACAAAACAAGAAUUCUGAUGAAAAAUGGAGAAUGUAUGUGGAGCAGGCACCCGGAGUGUCUAUGCCAGGAUUUUUUUUCAGUGCGUUUCACCGGUUAUAUUUUUGUCUCUUUACCUUACAAGAUAUGUGGCACGUUUGCCUAAAACAAGCCUUGCUUUCUGAUUUCUGUGCACUAGGCACUUAAACCUUGCAAAUGUCGCUUACCUAACAGUCACUGUCAAGGAGUACCUGGCUAAAGAAUCUCCAGCUAGACAAAGUAGAAGUGUCUGUGCUCUGGCAGUUGAAUAUAUUGUAUCAGGCUCAACAGCACCUUUCACCAAAGGAUGAGACUUCACAACCAUUAGAUCUUCUUUUAUUUUGUUUUUAUUAAAAAAAAAAAUUUUAACACACCAUUGCUAACUUGAAGCCAUUAGAUCUUCUUACCCCCAAUACCACAAAAGUUUAGUGGAAUCAGGGGUAUACCAAGGCAGGUGGAGUAGGGGAGCUGGGAGUGGUCAGCCCCCAGGGCAGGCAAUGAGGGAUUGUGAAUCUGUGAAGAAUUUUAAAGCAAUGAUACAGCUCUAAAUGCAAUGUACUAUCCUGGACUUAGCCCUGGAAAAGAAAAAAGAUAUUAGUGGAAAAACUGGUAAAAUUCAAAUAAUGUCUGUAGUUUGGUUAAUAGUAUUAUACCAAUGUUAAUUUCUGUGUUUUGAUAAAUGUACCAUGGUUAUGUAAGCUGGAUGAAAGAUAUGUGGGAAAUCUCUCUACUAUUUCUGCAACUCUCCUGUAAACCUAAAAAUGUUUCAAAAUAAAAGAUUUAAUGCUAAAAUUGAC
rnacentral:lncRNA from 1 species